rnacentral:rRNA from 1 species
CUUGGCACUAGAAGCCGAUGAAGGACGUUACUAACGACGAUAUGCUUUGGGGAGCUGUAAGUAAGCUUUGAUCCAGAGAUUUCCGAAUGGGGAAACCCAGCAUGAGUUAUGUCAUGUUAUCGAUAUGUGAAUACAUAGCAUAUCAGAAGGCACACCCGGAGAACUGAAACAUCUUAGUACCCGGAGGAAGAGAAAGAAAAUUCGAUUCCCUUAGUAGCGGCGAGCGAAACGGGAAGAGCCCAAACCAACAAGCUUGCUUGUUGGGGUUGUAGGACACUCUAUACGGAGUUACAAAGGACGACAUUAGACGAAUCAUCUGGAAAGAUGAAUCAAAGAAGGUAAUAAUCCUGUAGUCGAAAAUGUUGUCUCUCUUGAGUGGAUCCUGAGUACGACGGAGCACGUGAAAUUCCGUCGGAAUCUGGGAGGACCAUCUCCUAAGGCUAAAUACUCUCUAGUGACCGAUAGUGAACCAGUACCGUGAGGGAAAGGUGAAAAGCACCCCGGAAGGGGAGUGAAAUAGAACCUGAAACCGUGUGCUUACAAGUAGUCAGAGCCCGUUAAUGGGUGAUGGCGUGCCUUUUGUAGAAUGAACCGGCGAGUUACGAUUUGAUGCAAGGUUAAGCAGUAAAUGUGGAGCCGUAGCGAAAGCGAGUCUGAAUAGGGCGUUUAGUAUUUGGUCGUAGACCCGAAACCAGGUGAUCUACCCUUGGUCAGGUUGAAGUUCAGGUAACACUGAAUGGAGGACCGAACCGACUUACGUUGAAAAGUGAGCGGAUGAACUGAGGGUAGCGGAGAAAUUCCAAUCGAACCUGGAGAUAGCUGGUUCUCUCCGAAAUAGCUUUAGGGCUAGCCUCAAGUGAUGAUUAUUGGAGGUAGAGCACUGUUUGGACGAGGGGCCCCUCUCGGGUUACCGAAUUCAGACAAACUCCGAAUGCCAAUUAAUUUAACUUGGGAGUCAGAACAUGGGUGAUAAGGUCCGUGUUCGAAAGGGAAACAGCCCAGACCACCAGCUAAGGUCCCAAAAUAUAUGUUAAGUGGAAAAGGAUGUGGCGUUGCCCAGACAACUAGGAUGUUGGCUUAGAAGCAGCCAUCAUUUAAAGAGUGCGUAAUAGCUCACUAGUCGAGUGACACUGCGCCGAAAAUGUACCGGGGCUAAACAUAUUACCGAAGCUGUGGAUUGUCCUUUGGACAAUGGUAGGAGAGCGUUCUAAGGGCGUUGAAGCAUGAUCGUAAGGACAUGUGGAGCGCUUAGAAGUGAGAAUGCCGGUGUGAGUAGCGAAAGACGGGUGAGAAUCCCGUCCACCGAUUGACUAAGGUUUCCAGAGGAAGGCUCGUCCGCUCUGGGUUAGUCGGGUCCUAAGCUGAGGCCGACAGGCGUAGGCGAUGGAUAACAGGUUGAUAUUCCUGUACCACCUAUAAUCGUUUUAAUCGAUGGGGGGACGCAGUAGGAUAGGCGAAGCGUGCGAUUGGAUUGCACGUCUAAGCAGUAAGGCUGAGUAUUAGGCAAAUCCGGUACUCGUUAAGGCUGAGCUGUGAUGGGGAGAAGACAUUGUGUCUUCGAGUCGUUGAUUUCACACUGCCGAGAAAAGCCUCUAGAUAGAAAAUAGGUGCCCGUACCGCAAACCGACACAGGUAGUCAAGAUGAGAAUUCUAAGGUGAGCGAGCGAACUCUCGUUAAGGAACUCGGCAAAAUGACCCCGUAACUUCGGGAGAAGGGGUGCUCUUUAGGGUUAACGCCCAGAAGAGCCGCAGUGAAUAGGCCCAAGCGACUGUUUAUCAAAAACACAGGUCUCUGCUAAACCGUAAGGUGAUGUAUAGGGGCUGACGCCUGCCCGGUGCUGGAAGGUUAAGAGGAGUGGUUAGCUUCUGCGAAGCUACGAAUCGAAGCCCCAGUAAACGGCGGCCGUAACUAUAACGGUCCUAAGGUAGCGAAAUUCCUUGUCGGGUAAGUUCCGACCCGCACGAAAGGCGUAACGAUUUGGGCACUGUCUCAACGAGAGACUCGGUGAAAUCAUAGUACCUGUGAAGAUGCAGGUUACCCGCGACAGGACGGAAAGACCCCGUGGAGCUUUACUGUAGCCUGAUAUUGAAAUUCGGCACAGCUUGUACAGGAUAGGUAGGAGCCUUUGAAACGUGAGCGCUAGCUUACGUGGAGGCGCUGGUGGGAUACUACCCUAGCUGUGUUGGCUUUCUAACCCGCACCACUUAUCGUGGUGGGAGACAGUGUCAGGCGGGCAGUUUGACUGGGGCGGUCGCCUCCUAAAAGGUAACGGAGGCGCUCAAAGGUUCCCUCAGAAUGGUUGGAAAUCAUUCAUAGAGUGUAAAGGCAUAAGGGAGCUUGACUGCGAGACCUACAAGUCGAGCAGGGUCGAAAGACGGACUUAGUGAUCCGGUGGUUCCGCAUGGAAGGGCCAUCGCUCAACGGAUAAAAGCUACCCCGGGGAUAACAGGCUUAUCUCCCCCAAGAGUUCACAUCGACGGGGAGGUUUGGCACCUCGAUGUCGGCUCAUCGCAUCCUGGGGCUGUAGUCGGUCCCAAGGGUUGGGCUGUUCGCCCAUUAAAGCGGUACGCGAGCUGGGUUCAGAACGUCGUGAGACAGUUCGGUCCCUAUCCGUCGUGGGCGUAGGAAAUUUGAGAGGAGCUGUCCUUAGUACGAGAGGACCGGGAUGGACAUACCUCUGGUGUACCAGUUGUCGUGCCAACGGCAUAGCUGGGUAGCUAUGUGUGGACGGGAUAAGUGCUGAAAGCAUCUAAGCAUGAAGCCCCCCUCAAGAUGAGAUUUCCCAACUUCGGUUAUAAGAUCCCUCAAAGAUGAUGAGGUUAAUAGGUUCGAGGUGGAAGCAUGGUGACAUGUGGAGCUGACGAAUACUAAUCGAUCGAAGACUUAAUCAA